UCCUCAAUAGCUUAGUGCUAGAACGGUCGGCUGUUAGCCGAUUGGCCAUAGAUCGAAUCCUACUUGGGGAC
rnacentral:tRNA from 1 species